rnacentral:rRNA from 1 species
UCUAUGACCUGAAUGUGUCUGAUUUCAUCUGAUCUCAGAAACUAAGCAGAGUCAGGCCUGGUUAGCACUUGAAUGGGAGACAGCCUGAGAGAAAAGCAAAACAGAA